UACGGAGGGGGCUAGCGUUGUUCGGAAUUACUGGGCGUAAAGCGCACGUAGGCGGCUUUGCAAGUUAGAGGUGAAAGCCCGGGGCUUAACCCCGGAAUUGCCUUUAAAACUGCAUCGCUAGAAUUGUGGAGAGGUGAGUGGAAUUCCGAGUGUAGAGGUGAAAUUCGUAGAUAUUCGGAAGAACACCAGUGGCGAAGGCGACUCACUGGACACAUAUUGACGCUGAGGUGCGAAAGCGUGGGGAGCAAACGGG
rnacentral:rRNA from 1 species